rnacentral:rRNA from 1 species
GACGAACGCUGGCGGCGUGCUUAACACAUGCAAGUCGAACGGAAAGGCCCUGCUUUGGUGGGGUGCUCGAGUGGCGAACGGGUGAGUAACACGUGAGUAACCUGCCCUUGACUUUGGGAUAACUUCAGGAAACGGGGGCUAAUACCGGAUAAGAGCUCCUGCUGCAUGGUGGGGGUUGGAAAGUUUCGGCGGUUGGGGAUGGACGCGCGGCUUAUCAGCUUGUGGGUGGGGUAGUGGCUUACCAAGGCUUUGACGGGUAGCCGGCCUGAGAGGGUGACCGGCCACAUUGGGACUGAGAUACGGCCAAGACUCCUACGGGAGGAAGCAGUGGGGAAUAUUGCACAAUGGGCGGAAGCCUGAUGAAGCAACGCCGCGUGCGGGAUGACGGCCUUCGGGUUGUAACCCGCUUUCGCCUGUGACGAAGCGUGAGUGACGGUAAUGGGUAAAGAAGCACCGGCUAACUACGUG